GCCUGGGUGGCUCAGUGGUUGAGCGUCUGCCUUCAGCUCAGAGUGUGAUCACGGGGUCCUGGGAUCGAGUCCCACAUCGGGCU
rnacentral:tRNA from 1 species